rnacentral:lncRNA from 1 species
UGUUUCUGAUAGCAAGUGGAACAUAACAUAAAGUUUGGACUUAUAAUUUCAUUCUUUUUUAUAAAAAAGUCAAAGCUAUAGGUGGACCCCUUCCCACUCACAAGAGAGUACCAAGGAGCCCAAUAGAUGUGUUUAGAAGAGUGUUUUCCUACACCCAGAAGUGGGUGUAAAAAUAAGUAAAAAUGUGGAUUUUGUGUGUGAUAAACUUUAUUAUGUAUGGAAAAUUUACGAUGUUUAGAAGCCUGUACAAAGAAAAAAAAACAGACUCAAGCCCCCAGGCGAGAAUCGAAACUCAAAAAGAAUGCAAACAAUACACAAGGACCCCAACCGAGGGAAAGAAACAAAUACAAAAACUUAGGCGAAAACCAAAGAAAAAGAAAAUUAAAGUCAAAGGAAAACUAAAGAAGACAGAGCCCAGCUCGUGGAGUUCCAGAAAUUCCCAGACCCAAAGUGACCACGUCUAGACGAACCACCAUACUCAAAGAGGGAGUAACAAGGCGGUCACAGGACAAAACGAUACAAAAACAAACAACGAUCUCCACCCAGGAGAAAAACCAAACAAGGAAACAAAAGAAAGAGGAAGAACUGAAGCAAGAAAAUCUAAUUGGGAGGGCCAAACAACCCAAAACAACCCGAUAAACCAGCCCUAAAAAUUGAAAAAGAACCGGGGUCACCUACAAUAUCACUUAAGUCAACUGGCCAAGUAACUAAUUUGUUGGUGAAAUAGGUCACUAGUUUCCGUCUCCACUUGUCAAAUAAGAU